UUGCCAAAAGGGGCUGGAAUCCAGAUGGAGCCUUGUCUCUGGGGCUUAGGCUAAAGUGUAUUUUUAUCAGGAAGACCUAUGAGGCAGACAAGGAGGGGACAGCGUCCCUCUCCACUGUUUCAUAGACUGCCUGUGUCUAGUUAGUUUUCUCUACUGAGAGAUGGGAGGUCAGCUUGGAAGGGGUCACCUUGAGCAUCUCCUGUCUCCUGGAAGGGUGCCCGUCUGACCUUACCACCAUGGUCCUGCUAUUUUUCUCCCUCACACAGAAAGGACACAGAGGAGGGAACUUGGGGGAUCACACGGGGCCUAAUCACCGCAUUUUGGGUUGUACCACCCUCUACCUCCCGGGGUUAAAAUUCUACUAAGGAGCAGGAGAGGACCUGGCAGGUGGACUUGGGGAGGCAGGAGUGGAAGGCAGCAGGUGGCAGUUUUCCUCCCAGUCUUUAAUGUUGUGCAACUAAUGACAAGCUGUUUUUUGGCAGUGGAACCCAGCUCUCUGUCUUAGGUAUGUAAAAGACUUCUUUGGGAAUAGUGUAUCAUGAGGUCGGAGUUCCCGGAGGGCUCCUUGGGGAGGGCAGAAACUGAGAACACAGCCGAGAAAAGCUCAGAAAAUGUGGGUCAGUGGAGCAUGUGGCGAGGUCCCCAGGAGUUCUGUGAGAAAGCAGCUUCUGGAAGGAAGGGCCUGCAGCAGUUCCUCUGGGGUUUGCCACACUCAUUAUCACUGUGUAACAAUCAGGCACAGCAUUUUGGAGAUGGGACUCGACUCUCCGUCCUAGAUGACCUGAGCAAGGUGUUCCCACCCACGGUCGCUGUGUUUGAGCCAUCAGAAACAGAGAUCUCCCGCACCCAAAAGGCCACGCUGGUGUGCCUGGCCACAGGCUUCUACCCCGACCACGUGGAGCUGAGCUGGUGGGUGAACGGGAAGGAGGUGCACAGUGGGGUCAGCACGGACCCGCAGCCCCUCAAGGAGCAGCCCGCCCUCAAUGACUCCAAAUACUGCCUGAGCAGCCGCCUGAGGGUCUCGGCCACCUUCUGGCACAACCCCCGCAACCACUUCCGCUGCCAAGUCGAGUUCUACGGGCUCUCGGAGGAUGACGAGUGGACCCAGCCAAGGGCCAAACCCAUCACCCAGAAAGUCAGCGCUGAGGCCUGGGGCAGAGCAAACUGUGGCUUCACCUCAGUGUCCUACCAGCAAGGGGUCCUGUCUGCCACUGUCCUUUAUGAGAUCCUGCUGGGGAAGGCCACCCUGUAUGCUGUGCUGGUCAGUGCCCUCGUGCUGAUGGCCAUGGUCAAGAGAAAGGAUUUCUGAAGGCAGCUCUGGAAGUGGAGUUAGGAGCUUCCAACCCGUCGUGGUUUUAAUAUACAUUCUUCUUUCGCCAGUGCUUCUGAAGAGCUGCUCUCGCCCCUCUGUGCAUCUCAGUAUCUGCCCCCUAUAUGCUUGUACACCUGCACACUCAGGGCUGAAAUCUCCCUAACCCAGGGGGACUCUAGCAUCCCUACAUGACUGAGCCAAUAAAAUGUUCUGGUCUGGCCUGACUUUGA